rnacentral:snoRNA from 1 species
CCCCUCUUAGGGGUGCACCGGGAGAGUUUCCAGUUCUCUACCGGUCUCGGCUAUGGGAGGGAGAGUCAAGCAGAGGCCUGUCCAUUCCAUUCCUAGCUUGGGCAGUGGCUAGCGAGUGGAAGGCAAUCUGCUACAAGU